rnacentral:rRNA from 1 species
CCUACGGGGGGCUGCAGUGGGGAAUAUUGCACAAUGGGCGCAAGCCUGAUGCAGCCAUGCCGCGUGUGUGAAGAAGGCCUUCGGGUUGUAAAGCACUUUCAGCGGGGAGGAAGGCGGUGAGGUUAAUAACCUCAUCGAUUGACGUUACCCGCAGAAGAAGCACCGGCUAACUCCGUGCCAGCAGCCGCGGUAAUACGGAGGGUGCAAGCGUUAAUCGGAAUUACUGGGCGUAAAGCGAACGCAGGCGGUCUGUCAAGUCGGAUGUGAAAUCCCCGGGCUCAACCUGGGAACUGCAUUCGAAACUGGCAGGCGAGAGUCUUGUAGAGGGGGGUAGAAUUCCAGGUGUAGCGGUGAAAUGCGUAGAGAUCUGGAGGAAUACCGGUGGCGAAGGCGGCCCCCUGGACAAAGACUGACGCUCAGGUGCGAAAGCGUGGGGAGCAAACAGGAUUAGAUACCCGGGUAGUC